GACGAACGCUGGCGGCGUGCCUAAUACAUGCCAGUAGAACGCACAGUUUAUACCGUAGCUUGCUACACCAUAGACUGUGAGUUGCGAACGGGUGAGUAACGCGUAGGUAACCUGCCUGGUAGCGGGGGAUAACUAUUGGAAACGAUAGCUAAUACCGCAUAAUAUUAAUUAUUGCAUGAUAAUUAAUUGAAAGGUGCAAUUGCACCACUACCAGAUGGACCUGCGUUGUAUUAGCUAGUAGGUGAGGUAACGGCUCACCUAGGCGACGAUACAUAGCCGACCUGAGAGGGUGAUCGGCCACACUGGGACUGAGACACGGCCCAGACUCCUACGGGAGGCAGCAGUAGGGAAUCUUCGGCAAUGGACGAAAGUCUGACCGAGCAACGCCGCGUGAGUGAAGAAGGUUUUCGGAUCGUAAAGCUCUGUUGUAAGAGAAGAACGGGUGUGAGAGUGGAAAGUUCACACUGUGACGGUAUCUUACCAGAAAGGGACGGCUAACUACG
rnacentral:rRNA from 1 species